GAAGCAGGAGGCAGAAGCGGCGGCAGAGGCAGAGAGGAGUUAGCCUGUGGCGACGCGUCGAGUAGACACGUCGCGAUCCCCGACGCCGAAACAUCCCCCGAUCAUGCGAGCGUCGGGCGCCGGUAGCGGGCCACCAGUUUCGUCCCUCUCGGUCGCAUCUCGCCCAUCGAGAUCAUCAUCCUCUUGCCCCUCCGCUCGCCUUCGGCUGCCAACGGCCACCGUUCGCCGCUGCACCACUCGAUUAAUCGCCGCUUAAAUCGGAUCCACCACCCAGCCGAGAUUCGUUUGCGCCGCGAGCCUCGACACAGCGGCACCCUUCGAACAACUGCGAACACCGUAGUACCGGCCGCGGAGGUGGGGGCGGGAGGGCGGGGGGGAGGGGCCGAGAAUCUGGAACACGAACAGGUGGUGCCGCAUUAGUCCAGCGCACGGGAGAGAUAUAGCGGGAGAGAGAAGUAACAGGUUUGCCGAAGGUCUUUGCUGAAGAAACUCAAGAAAUUGGAGUUCCUGCGGUACUUACGCCACGAUAAACGUCCGUGCACGACAUACAUGACGGCACGGGGACAUUUUCUACGGUAUCCCGUCGCAUAAUAUUGGACAAUCUAGUGUUUAUUACGGGAUUUGCCGGAAGGAAGCCUAUUGGCCACACUUGGUCAACAUGCUGAGCCCGAAGAUGCAGAGAAGCGUGAGGGUGAACGACUCGCAGCUCAUCAUGCUGGCGGAGAAGGCGCGCAACGAUCACUCCAUGAAAGGAAAUUUGCAUAAGCGGACCGCGGACUCGGCUAAGUGGCAAUUACGGUGGUUCAUUUUAUAUCAGAACUUGCUGUUCUAUUACGAGAACGAACAGUGUUCCAGGCCCAACGGCGUUGUUUUGUUAGAGGGUUGCUACUGCAAGCGGCUCAUCAUCGCCAGAGGCAAAGAGUCCGAGAAACAGCAUGAAAUGAACGUCACUUACGAAGACUCACAUUCUGAAAUGUCCCAAACUACAGCACUGAAGCACUGUUUCGCAAUAUCCUACAGACACGAGAACGAGAGGAAAUACGAGCUGAAAGCGGCGACGGAAUUCGAAUGCAAUACAUGGAUCGACUUCAUACGGGAGGCCAGCUUCAACAAAUUGCUAUUGCAUAAGGUGCAGAUAGAGCAGAAAUACCUGCACCUGUUGCACAUCAUCGAAACCGAGAAAACCGACAAGAAUCAGUGCGUGAGACGAUGCGAAGAACUUGCGCUGGAAGUGCAGGAACUUCGAACCAAGUUGAAUGCUGCAUUGCCGAAGCAGCGGGUGCAUUCCCAUCGGUCAGGUGCACAUGGUACAGUAUGGUUUGACAGCGGAGGGGAGAUGUCAGGCGACCCGGGAAUCGGGUUGCUGACUAUCACGGAGGAUUCUUUGGAAAUGCAAAAAAUUAAGAAAGUUCAGAGCUUUUUAAGAGGCUGGCUUUGUCGAAGACGUUGGAAGCAAAUCGUUGAGCAAUACAUCAAAAGUCCUCAUGCGGAAAGCAUGCGGAAACGUAACAGUUUGGUUUUCAAUAUGGUGGAGGCUGAAGAGGACUAUACCAGACAAAUGGAAAUUUUGGUCAGCUGUUUCCUCAGACCUUUCAAGAUGGCAGCGAGUUCAAAGAGGCCUCCUUGUUGUCACGAGGAUGUAAAUAGUAUAUUUUUAAAUAGCGAAACAGUAUUGUUCCUUCAUCAGAUCUUUUUAAAAGGUCUCACGUCUCGUAUGGAGAACUGGCCCACCCUAGUUUUAGUCGAUUUGUUCGAUAUGUUGCUCCCUAUGCUCUCAAUUUAUCAAGAAUUUGUCAGAAACCAUCAUUACAGUCUUCAAGUUCUGACGAAUUGUAAGCAGUCGUCGCCGUCAUUCGCGGCAUUGCUCACUAGAUUAGAAAACAAAACUGCUUGUGGAGGACGCUCUUUGGAGACAUUUCUGACCUAUCCUAUGGAUCACUUUCCGAAGUAUAUUGUCACGCUGAAUGAAAUAUUGGCACAUACGCCAAUCGAUCACGUGGAACGUAAAAGCUUAAAAAACGCGAAGGAUAAAUUAGUGGAAUUAUCGAACCAGAUGCAACACGAGGUCAGCGAAACAGAGAGCUUACGGAAAAAUUUGUCCGUGGAACGAAUGAUUGUCGAAGGCUGCGACAUUCUACUCGAUGUUAAUCAAGUAUUCGUCAGACAGGACACGCUCAUCCAAAUUUUGGAUAAGCCGAAAGGAGCCAGAAGUAGAUUGAGCGCGACUUUCGGAGGCAAAGGCGGCGAGAAAGAGGCCGUCAGACAAUGCUAUCUGUUUUCGAAUCAUUUGUUGAUAACAACGCGUCAAUCGGAUGGCAACGGCCGUGUGAAUUUGGUUCCCCAAAUUGGCAAAAUCCCAUUGUCUAAGGCGGUGCUGAUAGAGGACCCUAACGAACUAACGAACACGGAAGAUGACGAAAUCUCAGUAUGUUCGAUGUCCAGCGGUAUCAGCGAAAGCAGUGGCAGUGCUAGUGGAACUACAAGUAAUCACUUUCAGAACCGUGAUUUUAAGAUUAUAGUCAACCUGGAGACUGGUGGACCCCAAGUAACGGUGCACCUAGUUGCUGCUACUUUACAGGAAAAGGCUGCUUGGAUCAGCGACAUCGCGCAGUGCGUGGAUAACGUCCACUUUAGAGACCGGUUGCUUUGCCCCGCGUUGUCGGACAGCGGUUCCGUCACGAUGCCGCAAACGAUCGCAAACGAUCCGAGCCUGUUCAAGGAUGACGUGGACAUCAGAUUCAGCAGGAAACUGAAUUCUCGUAAAAUACCGCACAUACGUUCAGCGACACCCGAACGGUUGCUUCAGCAACUGACGGAUCUACGGUUCCUCAGCAUCGAUUUCCUCAACACGUUCUUGUUGACCUAUCGAGUUUUUACCGAUGGCGUCGCGGUACUGGAAGCUUUGAAGAAAGUGUUCUACGAGUCCGAGCCACCGGAUGCCGACGUACACACAGGCUCCUUCGAGUCCUUGGACGUCUUGGGAGCUGUUGCCGACACUCAGUCCCAAAUCGAUGAUAGAAGAAGAAGCAUCGUCUCACCGCGGAGGACAAGCGCAACUAGCUCCCUAGGAUACGGAUCUGAAAUAAGUGAAAUAAAGAGUCGCAGUUCCUGUGACUUCUCUGCAGGCUAUGCAAUAACUCCAAGAGGCUACUGGAAAUUUAAGAAGGACGAAGAUAAGCCACGUGUGAUCACAGAAGCCCCGUCGAUCAUAAAAAGGAGCCCAACUAUACAAUCGUCAACUGUAUCCGUGGAGACCCAAUCUCCAGUCGUACCACACAAGGAUAACAGUCAAGGAAAUCAAGACAAGAAGGAAGAUAAGAAGGAUGAGAGGGCAGCAGAAAAGAUUGAAGAAAAGAAAGAGCAAAAGAAGAUAGAAAAUGAUGGUUGUCAUCUGACCAUACCAAAAGUAAUUAAUGUUUCGUCGAGUUCUGAGACACUUACAGAUAAUACUGUAAUAAGUGCUCCAUCGUCGCCAAGCAACUUGAGCUCCGUUACAUUGGUUGGCUCAACUGGAUCAGGUUCAGGUUCAGGAUCAAGUCCUCAAGAUGGAGGAACAUAUUCUCGCGGUGCUUCCGAAGAGACUGAUACGCCCGUUGCAACGGAAGUGUUGAAAGACGAUGUGCAAUUCACGUACGAAGAGGAACCCAAGACUCCCAAAUCAGUGAAGGAGGUGACCCCUGUGAAAACACCUCCGACUCCGCUAGGAAAACGCGCCGAUAGAGAAGCAGACACGAGCAAGGCGGUAAAAGAAAAACCACAUCCACCCAAAUGCGAGACUAUCGGCUCGAGAACACGGCCUCAGUCCCCGGAAAGAGCACCAUACAGACCUUCCUAUCCUAAUUAUUAUCUACCCAGAGCGUCGAUUUGGUCCGCUCCAGAGGAUACUGGAAGGAGCAGCUCUAUUUCCACGAUCACCAGCAGCAAUUGCUGGCCACCGAGACGAUCGAUUCAAGAGACGGAGAUGUCGUCGCAGCCCGGUAACUCGCAGAGCCCGAAAGCUGGGGUAGUGAUAACCAGCUCCCGGCAAAGUCAACGAAGCGUUGGACCUGUACCUAUCUGGAGCAGUAGCUCGGCAGCUGCCACUGCAUAUGCAACCGCAACGUCCGCAGCGAGCAUCUCCGUAGACGAGGAAAUUAAUGGCAAUAAUCGAAGAGGAUCCUACAAGACCAGACGGAAAGAAUCGUUCAUGUCAACGGCAGCAACGAUGGGCGUGCUGAAUGUUCUGAGACACUGGGUCUCCAAGCACGCUGGCGACUUCGAGUCCGAUCCGAAGUUGAAAAGUUUAACGGUCAAGUUCCUGGAAGAAAUUGUUUAUUGCCCGCAUCUGCUACCGGCUGAACACGACGUGGCGCACCUACUGCUUCGAUUGAUCAUCAAAGAAGAACAGGAUAGCAGCAAAGUGGACCUGAAGAAGCUUCUAGCUCCUCCCACUACACAAAGCAAGGAAAGCAUUGAGACAUUAUCUGCGAUGGACAUCGCAGAACAAAUGACAUACUUAGAUCACAAGAUAUUCAUAUCAAUAUCAAAUGAAGAAUUUCUUGGACAAGCCUGGAUGAAGUCGGACAAAGCAACGCGUGCUCCUCAUAUUCUGCUAAUGACGAAAAGAUUUAACGAAGUGAACCAAUUAGUGAUUUCGGAGAUUCUUCGACGCACCAACAUGUCGGCGAGGGUGGCUGCGAUCGAAAAAUGGGCUGCGGUUGCUGAUAUCAGCAGGGUUCUGCACAAUUACAACGGCGUACUACAAAUUUGCUCGGCGUUCACAAACAGCAGCGUUUACAGAUUGAAGAAGACUUGGGAAAAAGUUUCUAAAACGACGAAGCAAAAUAUCGAAAAACUCCAGAACAUCGUCUCGUCGGACGGACGUUUCAAAAAUUUAAGGAACGCUUUGCACCGAUGCGAUCCCCCCUGCAUUCCUUACUUAGGACUGUACUUAUCUGACCUCUCCUGCAUAGAAGAAGGUGCACCAACCAUAACCGACGAAGGUCUUCUGAAUUUUUCGAAAAUGCGAAUGAUUGCGAACGUGAUUCGUGAGAUACGGCAGUUUCAGCAGAAACCGUACAAGAUCGAGCUGAUCACGAAAGUAACGAACUAUCUGUUAGACCCGUCGCUGCUGCUCGACGACAAGCAUCUAUUCGACAUGUCCUUAGAGAUCGAGCCCAGACUAUCCAGGCUAAGUACUUCCAAUUAAAUCGAUCUGCCACACUCUGUGAGCAAUGCGCCCACGAAGUGUCUCUUAAGUGUCAAGGUUAAGGUGACACAAAGGGGAGGUCCGCAUUGACUGUUAAAUCACAAUCCGACUUAAUAAUGGCGACAAUUUACAAGCUUCUUCGUCGACAAAAAGUAUUCGUUCUUCUUACGAGCAUAAUGAUGGAAAGCGGCAAAAUUUGUCUUACUUGCGUGGUACCACGAAGAAAAGUUACAUACAAACAUGGUAUUUAGUACCGAGAGGAACUCAAAAACGGUUUCGACCGAUUCAAAUUCACGAUCGUCGCAAGAAAAAGUCAGGUUAACGCAUGGUAUAAGAAGGAGAGCUGGACCGACUUCAUCCCUAUGCCUGUCAUCUUUAAAGGUUCGCAUCUGAUAUGGUUUGCUAGGCGCUCUGUGAAACUUUCGUGCUAUCGGCGAGAGUUCCUAUAGCGUGUGUUCGGUAUCCGCUAUAUAGCAGUGCUCCGAAUGUUUCGGAACGCAACAUUAGGCUCCGCCUCUUGACUAUCGCCGCAGCGUCUCGCUGCGCGGGGAUGCUGCACGCGAUGGAACGCGGGGAGUGAGACGCUGCGGCUGCAGUCAGGGGGCGGAGCCUAAUGUUGCGCUCCGAAGCAUUCCGAGCACUGCGCUACAGUAACAUUACCAUAAUAGUGGCAGUAGCGGCAGUAAUACCGCACUCAGGCGAAUAUAACUUUAAGAAGCAAUGUAUCGGUGAGCACCGACGAAAACGUUAGCACAUCUCGCGGGAACUCGUGGGAGUAAAUUUUAGCGUCGCGGAAAUUUUCUAGCGGGGUAACCGUAGUCGGUCCAUUUCUCCUUCUUACACCGUGCAUCCUAAACCUGCAAGCGAAUCUGAUACUCCGGAUUUUUUUAAUACCUUGACUGCCACGCUCUC